GCGGGCCCUACCAAUUGCAAGUUCGAACGGUAGCACAGAGAGCUUUCGCUCGGGUGACGAGUGGGGGACGGGUGAGUAAUGUCUGGGAAACUGCCUGAUGGAGGGGGAUAACUACUGGAAACGGUAGCUAAUACCGCAUAACGUCGCAAGACCAAAGUGGGGGACCUUCGGGCCUCUUGCCAUCUGAUGUGCCCAGAUGGGAUUAGCUUGUAGGUGAGGUAACCCCUCACCUACGCGACGAUCCCUAGCUGGUCUGAGAGGAUGACCAGCCACACUGGAACUGAGACACGGUCCAUACUCCUACGGGAGGCAGCAGUGGGGAAUAUGCACAAUGGGCGCAAGCCUGAUGCAGCCAUGCCGCGUGUAUGAAGAAGGCCUUCGGGUUGUA
rnacentral:rRNA from 1 species